GAUGAACGCUGGCGGCGUGCCUAAUACAUGCAAGUCGAGCGAACAGACGAGGAGCUUGCUCCUCUCACGUUAGCGGCGGACGGGUGAGUCACACGUGGAUAACCUCCCUAUAAGACUGGGAUAACUUCGGGAAACCGGCGCUAAUACCGGAUAAUAUAUUGAACCGCAUGGUUCAAUAGUGAAAGACGGCUUUGCUGUCACUUAUCGCUGGAUCUGCGCCGCAUUAGCUGGUUGGUACGGUCACGGCUUACCAAGGCGACGAUGCGUAGCCGAACUGUGGGGGGGAUCGGCCACACUGGAGCUGAGACACGGUCCAGACUCCUACGGGAGGCAGCAGUAGGGAAUCGGCCGCAGUGGGCGAGAGCCUUACGGAGCAACGCCGCGUGAGUGAUGAAGGUGUUCGGAUCGUAAAACUCUGUUAUUAGGGAAGAACAAAUGUGGAAGUAACUAUGCACUGCUUGACGGUACCGAAUCAGAAAGCCACGGCUAACUACGUG
rnacentral:rRNA from 1 species